AUUGAACGCUGGCGGCGUGCCUCAAACAUGCAAGUCGAGCGGGGCUAUGUAAUAUCGCAAGGUAGAACAUAGCCUAGCGGCGAACGGGUGAGUAACACGUGGGUAACCUGCCUGGAAGACAGGGAUAACGAUUCGAAAGGGUCGCUAAUACCUGAUAAUAUCCUUUCAUCGCAUGGUGAUAGGAAGAAAGGGGAAACCCGCUUUCAGAUGGGCCCGCGUCCCAUCAGCUAGUUGGUAAGGUAAAGGCUUACCAAGGCGACGACGGGUAGCCGGUCUGAGAGGAUGUACGGCCACACUGGGACUGAGAUACGGCCCAGACUCCUACGGGAGGCAGCAGUUGGGAAUCUUAGGCAAUGGACGAAAGUCUGACCUAGCGACACCGCGUGAGGGAAGAAGGCCUUCGGGUUGUAAACCUCUGUCAUGGGGGAAGAAGGAAGUGACGGUACCCCAAGAGGAAGCCCCUGCUAACUACGUG
rnacentral:rRNA from 1 species